CUCAUUCUGUGGUUCAUAAGCACAAUGAUUUGAGGUUUUAACACUAUUGUGUAAGAUAUGCUUCCCUCAAGCAGUAUUACCACAUCAACACAUUACCCCUCCAACA
ensembl:snoRNA